ACUCCUACGGGAGGCAGCAGUGGGGAAUAUUGGACAAUGGGCGNAAGCCUGAUCCAGCAAUGCCGCGUGAGUGAUGAAGGCCUUAGGGUUGUAAAGCUCUUUUACCAGGGAUGAUAAUGACAGUACCUGGAGAAUAAGCUCCGGCUAACUCCGUGCCAGCAGCCGCGGUAAUACGGAGGGAGCUAGCGUUGUUCGGAAUNACUGGGCGUAAAGCGUGCGUAGGCGGUGACUCAAGUCAGAGGUGAAAGCCUGGAGCUCAACUCCAGAACUGCCUUUGAAACUAGGUCGCUAGAANNUNGGAGAGGUGAGUGGAAUUCCGAGUGUAGAGGUGAAAUUCGUAGAUAUUCGGAAGAACACCAGUGGCGAAGGCGGCUCACUGGACNANNNUUGACGCUGAGGCACGAAAGCGUGGGGAGCAAACAGGAUUAGAUACCCUGGUAGUC
rnacentral:rRNA from 1 species